rnacentral:rRNA from 1 species
UUUCCCUCAGGAUAGCUGGCACUCGCUCGAGCGAGUCUCAUCUGGUAAAGCGAAUGAUUAGAGGCCUUGGGGCCGAAACGACCUCAACCUAUUCUCAAACUUUAAAUGGGUGAGAUCUCUGGCUUGCUUGAAAUAUGAAGCCACGAGAUUUAUUUUUUGAAUGGAUCAGAGUGCCAAGUGGGCCAAUUUUGGUAAGCAGAACUGGCGCUGUGGGA